rnacentral:rRNA from 1 species
UACAGAGGUCUCAAGCGUUGUUCGGAUUCAUCGGGCGUAAAGGGUGUGUAGGUGGCGCGCUGAGUCGGGUGUGAAAUUUCGGAGCUUAACUCCGAAACUGCAUUCGAUACUGGCGUGCUUGAGGACUGGAGAGGAGACUGGAAUUCAUGGUGUAGCAGUGAAAUGCGUAGAGAUCGGCAGGAACACCCAGGGGGAAACCAGUGGACUGGGCAGGAGCUGACGCUCAGGUGCGAAAGCGUGGGGAGCGAACCGG